CUGAGAUUCCACCCUGAAAGCUUCUUUGGACUGGAUUCCAUCCUGGUCCCUCCUCCAUCCUGGUCCCGCCUCCCUCCUGUUCCCCUCCUCCCUCCUGCUGUCCUUCUCCAUCUUGGCCCUACCUUCCCACCUGCCUGUGUCUAUCCUUUGAGACCAGCUUAUGUGUCACCGUCUCUGGGAGCCUUUGGUGUUCCUUACCUCUCAGGUCCUCCUCACUUAGCAUCUGAGUCGCAUCUAUCUCUACUGGCUUCUGGGAUGGGGCAUUGAGCAGAAUUGCAGCCCUGCCUUUUUUGGGCCUGACAAGCCAACAGAGCAGGGUCAGCAUACAGGUGGGUUCACACUGCACUUCUAUCAUGUGGACCCUUGAAGAAAACUAGCAGGGAAUUAGGGAAGAAAGUGGGCCCCUCUCUGUGUUCUCAGAAGAGUCCUUUAGGGCUGGAGAGACGGCUCAGCAGGUAAAAGCACUGACUGCUCUUCAGAAGGUCCUAAAAAUUCAAUUCCCAAAAACCACAUAAAGGCUCACAACCAUGUUAGUACAGCUACAGUUUACUCACAUACAUAAAAUAAAUAAAUAAAUCUUAAGAAAAGGAAAAAAAAAAAA
ensembl:processed_transcript Gm15995 predicted gene 15995